CCUGUAUUGGUCUGACCUCCAAGAAGCAAGUUCAAGGUGGCCUUAGCAUGCAAAAGAUUCACUAGAAGAAACCCCUGUGAAGAAUAAGGAGUGAGGCCAAGAGCCAGGAAGGGGAGUCUGAAGACCUGACCUAUGGAAGGGGAGAAGGAAGGGAGGAAGGCGGCAAGGGGAGGAGUCCCCGGCCCCAGUGCCAUUCUGGCAAUGGCUUGUCCAGGCCAAUGGACUCUGGACCCAAAUCUGUGUAAGAGUUGCAAAUCUGGCGGGGACGGCCCUGCAUUGAUAACACCAGAGGUUCUCAGGCCUUGACAGCAGCCUGUAGCAAGCGUGGCCUCUUUAAGAACACUGCGUGGAUCCAGAGAGGAGGUGUCCAGUGCUGCAAGCCAGCUGUGCUCCCUGCAGCAGGAGGUCUCCCGGCUCAUUUCUGUGGCCGCCACAACCCUCUUGCAUCCUGACUUCGAUAGAGCCAUCUCAGUCCACAGGCAGCUUUGAGAUCUUGGAAGCUUGCAGGCUCCUUAUAAAGAGGUUGUAUAGUUACAUACACUUUUGGAAGGCAUAGUGGGCAGAUGCCAAGUGGGGCUGGCAUGACCCCACCUCCUGGUAUUCACACUAUCGCGUGAUCUCCUCUGGGUUGUAGGCUAGACUUACUUCUGCCUGAUAAAAUUCGGCUAAAGUGAUAGGAUGCCACUUUGGGGACUAGUUUAGUAGAGAUUGUAACUUUUGUCUUGCUGUCAAUAUUGCUCUAAUAAAAUCUUCCUUGCCGGCUUUGAGGAAAAGCCAUAUGCUAAGAGCCAUGUAACCAGGACCUGAAGCAGCUUCCAGCCAAUAGCCAGUGAGAAAUAGAGCUCCCAACAGCAAGGAGUCGAUCCUGCCAGUGAUGUGCCCCCUUGAGUGGGUCCUGCACCAUCCAGCCUUCUGAUGAAGCCCCAGCCCUGGUCAGCACCUGACUGAAGACGUGUGAUACCUCGUGCAGAGGAUGCAGCAAAGCUGUCCCCAGACCUUUGACCCAGGAGCUCAUAAAUGCAUGUUGCUUUAAACUACUAAAUCUGUGAUCAUUUGUUACACAGCGAUGGAGGCCUAGAGAGAGGCUGAGUCUACCUGUGACCACGAGCGGUUAGACCCUGCAUUCCCUGGACAGAUUGGAGGAGGAUUAUCAGACCUUCUGUCUAAAAGUAGGAGUCCCAGGCCUGAUUCUAACAAGCACAUUAGUAGGCAGCACAGAGUUAACUGCUGACUGUGUGAGCUACAGGUGCAGGACACCCUGGAGUUCAAGGAGCAAGUACAUGAUGCAACCAGGAGUCAGUUAAGUCCUGUGUGGACUCUGCAUUUGUUAGUCAUGCACACGUUCAGUGAAGGAGGACAGGCCUCCCCUCAAGUGAGUGCACAGAGACAGCAGAGUUGACGUUUGUCAGCAAGGCUGAAGAAACAGAACAGGCCAGACUCCUUGUGAUCUGAGUCAGGGAGAGAGACUUACAGAGUUGAUUCACACACACAGGAACCAGAAGGCACAGGGCUUUCAGAAUCAGAAAAUCCACACUGAUGAGCAGACAAAUGUCUGUGUCAGGCUGAUACUUGGACAUGCGAAGGUGGCACAGAGGAAGAGACUCAGAUUUGAUGAAUGCAUUCCAGGGAGGUCAGAAACUGCGACCUCCUCUACCAGCUGCUACCUCCCCUACCCAAGUCCCAGUGGGACCCUCCCAUGGGAGGAUUGGGCUCCUGGCCAGCCACCUGUUUGAAGCUCUAAGAAGAAUGGUCCUACCUGUGGCUCAUGGGUUGUGCCCCACCCUUCCUUGGAGCUGGAUUUUUGUACCCCAAGGGCCACCCUGGAUGGCUGCUGAAGCCCUGCCUUGUUUUUGAGCAUCGUUGGGAAGCCAGGUGUGACGCCCACCUGAGCAUUGACCCGGACAACUGCGGCCAGUGUGAGCGGGCUCUCAGAACAAAUUGAAACAUCCUGAGAUCUGACCAUGGCCUUCUUGACUCAUCAUUCCUCAGGCCUUUGUCCUAUGAGCAAAUCCACCAUGAGAUGCAGGCUCUACCGCGGGCCCAGGCCUGGCCUGUGAAGUCCAGUGGCUUCCCUGAGGGCACAGCCCUGCAGCUCUGGCCCAUUUUAAUUAACUAAUCUUAUGUGCAUGCACUUAGAGAACAACAUAAUAACACGCACCCAUCUCCAGACACAGCAGCUCUCGGUAUUUUGCCGAACUUGUUUUGUGUGCAGCGUGGUUUCCCUAGGUGCAAAGCUCAUCCUUGACUGUGUGCUUUCUUGCUUUAGUAUCUGUCUCUGGAGAUUGAGCAAGGGGAGGUCUCUGAGCAUCUCCUGCUGACCUUUGUUGUCCCAUCAGUCCAGUGUGAUUGCCAGCCCAGCGGGAGAUUUCUAACAUGGUAGCAAGGAUGUGUCCCCUUCCAGCCCCUGUAGGUGUUCAGGGAAUCCCAAUGAUCCCCCUUAUUUGGAUGGUCAGUGUUUCUUUCCCAGACUCAUGUAAUCCCAGCGAUUUCCUGGUAGGGAGACCAGCAAUGCUGGUCCCAGCAACCUGGCUGCUUGUCAUCACGAUUAAUGCUACGUAAACCAAACUGUCUUCUUCUUCUUCUUUUUUUUCUUUUAAAUGGCUUUCUUUAUAUUUAUUUAUUUUUAUGUGGUGCUGAGGAUGGAACCCAGUGUCUCUGACUUGCUAGGCAAGUGCUCUACCACAGAGCCACAACCCCAGCCCACCAAACUGUCUUUAAUUUCAGUGUUCCUUACAAAAAUCCAAAGUUAAUUAUUGACUUGUGUUCAGACACUGGCCUCGGGAACAUGAACCAGUUAUUAAGAAUGAAUGCUAAAGAACCUCAACUGUCAAAGCUCAGGAGAAAACAAAGUCCAGGGUUUUGCAGCUGGUCUUGGAACUCAAACUGUUGGCUGAGGGUUACUGUCCAAACUGGCCAAGGAGGUCUUCACCACCUGCUGGUUCUCUCUCUAGUGUUCAGUUUAAGUACCAAUCUGGGGGCAAAAUUAAGUAAGACAGAGAAAAUGACCAUUUUGCUUGCCAUGUGAAAUGAAAAUUUAUUCUGCCUUGUAUUUGCUAUCAAUUGCCACAUUAAUGUUGUACAACAAAAUAACUCCCCAAACUUCAACACACAACAAGAGCUAUCUUUUCUCAUGUGCAUCCAGUCAAGUUGGGGUUAACCAGGUGGAUCUGAAGACACAUCUGAGGGGGCCUGGCUGCUGCUGACCCAGGCUGGCCCUGGUUUGGGAGAGCAGGACAGUGUAACUGUACGCUGUGUGCCUCCUGUCCCCUGGCAAGCUACUCCAGACAGGUUCUCGUAGUAGUGGUGCAAGUGUCGGAGGGCAACGGGAGCAUGCAAGGCAGCACAGGCUCUGAUUUGAAGCUGGAAUUCUGCCCUGGCUGCCUGCACCCUUAGUCAGAAUGUAGGCUGGCACUCACCCUCAGUGGGUGGGAGGAGGCUGCAAAUAACCUGCAAAAGCAGGAAAAGAUUGGGACCAUGAAUGCAGUCAACUUAUCACACCUCGAUCCAGUAAAGUCAACCUCAGACUUGAAAACUGAUUUUUUUUUUCUCCUAGGAAGGUAGCUGGGGGCUUUCUUUGUUGUUGGGGAGAACAUCAGCUUUGAAGUCUGACAUCUGGAGUUCAAAGGCAAGGUCCCCCAGGUCCUGGCUGGUGGCCUUCCACGUAUUACAGACUUCCUGGGCCUGUGUCCAUGCAUGGGAAGCAGGGCUGCUGUCCACUCUUGACAUGCUGUUGUGAGGGGUCGAAUAGGGGGUGCUUGGUUAGGAAUGACAUGCUGUGGUUGCAAGGUCUUCUCUCAGGGGACAGUGUUCCUCCUAGUUCAGACAGGGGGACUGGCUGCAGCCCAGAUAGAUUCAGAGUAUAAACUGGAGAAUGCGGUUUCCCACAGGGUACUAAGUGCUCUACGUGGCAUCUCCUUAACCAAGGUCAAAGUGACUGCCCCCUUCCUGAAAGAAGCAGAGGAAUCUGAUACACAAGUUGAGGCUGCAUCGGGGUGAAUGCAGAAAAAAUGGUGGCAUGUUCUUCACCCUUAAAAAGAGAAGGAAAUCCUGCCAUUUGUGACAACAGAGGGGGACCUGGGGGACAUCACGCUAAAUGACGUAAUGCGGGGCACAGAAGACAAGCCCUGCUUGAGUGCUCUGCUCUGUAGAGUCCUACCAACUUAGGCAAUCACUCAGCAAUCCCACUACUGCGUGCAUUCAAAGGAAAUGAAGCCAAGAUCUGAAGAGAAGUCCGCGCCAGUCCACGGCAACAGUGUUCUCAACAGCCAGGAAGGGAAAGCACCCGGUGAGUGGAGAGAGGAAAUGUGAAAGGCUGCCCUGGAAGGCUGGUCGGACACGAGAGAGCGUGGAGCUCUGCCAUUGACCACAACCUGAGCCAGGCACAGAAAGAAGGAGCGCACGAUCUCACCCAGGUGUGGGCCUGCAGAGUGGACAUCAUGGAGAUAGACAGCGGAGCGCUGGUGGCCAGAGGCUGGGAUGCUGGGGGAGAUGAGAAGGUGGUGGCUGAAGAAAUGACCCAGGUGGACAGAAGGAAUCAAUGUGGUGACUGUGGGGAGACAGGUAGCAUCCUAGGAGGACGUGAAGAGAGUGAGGAGGUUCUGCGCCCGCUCCAUGAAGGUGACAGCCACCACACUGCGUAGAUAUUUCAAAGCAUGUUGUGCACAAUGAAAACACACAGUGUCGUCUAUCCAUUUAAACAUAAAUAAGCGCUCCACUGGGCUGGAGCUGGAGUGAAGUCAAUUGUAACUUUCCUUCUUGGUCACACCCUUGUCAGGUUUGGGGAUCAAGGUUAUGCUGGACCCAUAAAUGAGUUAAAAAGUGUUUCUCUCUUUUUUUUUUUUUACAUUUUCUGGCAUAAUUUGCAGAAAAGCAGUAUUUUUUUUCCCUGAAGAAUUUAGAAGAAUUUAUUGGUGAUAUCAUUUGGGAGCAGAGUUUUGUUUUGUUUUUGUAGAUAACUUAAAAUUUAUGGAUUACAUUUUUUAAGUGACCAGAAAAAAUACUUCCUAUUGAUUUGGGUCUGGGUUUUCUCCUGGAAAUUUGUCAACUUUUUCCUUGGUUUUUAACUACGUUGGCAUGACAUUGUUUUAUGACGUUCUGUUGAGAUGCUCUUAAUGUCUUGAGAAACUUUGGUGCUCUUCUCCA